rnacentral:rRNA from 1 species
GAUGAACGCUGGCGGCGUGCCUAAUACAUGCAAGUCGAGCGAACAGAUAAGGAGCUUGCUCCUUUGACGUUAGCGGCGGACGGGUGAGUAACACGUGGGUAACCUACCUAUAAGACUGGGAUAACUUCGGGAAACCGGAGCUAAUACCGGAUAACAUUUGGAACCGCAUGGUUCUAAAGUGAAAGAUGGUUUUGCUAUCACUUAUAGAUGGACCCGCGCCGUAUUAGCUAGUUGGUAAGGUAACGGCUUACCAAGGCAACGAUACGUAGCCGACCUGAGAGUGUGAUCGGCCACACUGGAACUGAGACACGGUCCAGACUCCUACGGGAGGCAGCAGUAGGGAAUCUUCCGCAAUGGGCGAAAGCCUGACGGAGCAACGCCGCGUGAGUGAUGAAGGGUUUCGGCUCGUAAAACUCUGUUAUUAGGGAAGAACAAAUGUGUAAGUAACUGUGCACGUCUUGACGGUACCUAAUCAGAAAGCCACGGCUAACUACGUG